GUGUGUACAUGUGUGUACGUGUGUGUGUGUGUGUGUUUUGUCCAUCCAGCAAAGAGCGGUGUAGCUUGUGUUGUAUGAAAACGGCUGCGAUCGACGACCAGGUUCGGGAGGAAGAAGAAGAAGAAGAAGAAGAGGAGGAGGAAGAGGAAGGAAAAAAAAAAACAAGAAUCAGAUAAAACGAGGGGAAAACGAUCGUUAACAAUAACAACAACAACAUCAGUAACAACAACAACAAUAAGGAAUAGGAAGAAGAAGAAGAAGAAGAAGGAGGCAGUAAAUGAUGAAGAGAUGAGACCAUCUGGCAGAGAUGCUGAUAUGAAGUUUCAUUAACCAAUCACAGGGUUUAACUGCAAUUACUAUUGUAAAAGGGAAGGUGAGAUCUAUAAAAGACUAAAAGGAGAAAAGCAAGACAACAAAAGACUUUCAUUCUCAGAUAUUUGAUUCCAAAAAUGGAUACGAGCAGCCAAGAAUUAGACGAGUUAUGCGAUAAAAGGUCAUCUUUGAGACGUUCUUACAGUGAAGAAAUGACCAGCAGUACUUUGGCCAAUCCUUUCCAGAAGCCAUGCUGUUGUUGUUACAUUCCAAAGAGAUAUAUUUUGGCAUGUAUGGCCUUUCUUGGGUUCGGUGAGUCAUUUAUGCUUUUGGUC